CCUGGCUCAGAUUGAACGCUGGCGGCAUGCUUUACACAUGCAAGUCGAACGGCAGCACGGGGGCAACCCUGGCGGCGAGUGGCGAACGGGUGAGUAAUAUAUCGGAACGUACCCUGGAGUGGGGGAUAACGUAGCGAGAGUUACGCUAAUACCGCAUACGAUCUAAGGAUGAAAGUGGGGGAUUCGCAAGAACCUCAUGCUCCUGGAGCGGCCGAUAUCUGAUUAGCUAGUUGGUGGGGUAAAGGCCUACCAAGGCAUCGAUCAGUAGCUGGUCUGAGAGGACGACCAGCUACACUGGAACUGAGACACGGUCCAGACUCCUACGGGAGGCAGCAGUGGGGAAUUUUGGACAAUGGGCGCAAGCCUGAUCCAGCAAUGCCGCGUGAGUGAAGAAGGCCUUCGGGUUGUAAAGCUCUUUUGUCAGGGAAGAAACGGUGAGGGCUAAUAUCCCUUGCUAAUGACGGUACCUGAAGAAUAAGCACCGGCUAACUACGUGCCAGCAGCCGCGGUAAUACGUAGGGUGCAAGCGUUAAUCGGAAUUACUGGGCGUAAAGCGUGCGCAGGCGGUUUUGUAAGUCUGUCGUGAAAUCNCNCGGGCU
rnacentral:rRNA from 1 species